GUACCUCUUCAGUAGAAAAAUGCAAUGAGGUUUCUCACACCUUCUACCUAUGGGCCAGUUACAUACAGAAGAGAAAACUGAAACUGAAAACUGAUUUGUCAUUUUUACAAAAAGUCGCCGAGAAGAAAAAUUCCCAGUACAGAAUGGAAAAUGGCUGCUCCA